rnacentral:rRNA from 1 species
UGGGGAAUAUUGCACAAUGGGCGCAAGCCUGAUGCAGCCAUGCCGCGUGUGUGAAGAAGGCCUUCGGGUUGUAAAGCGCUUUCAGCGAGGAGGAAGGGUAGUGUGUUAAUAGCACAUUGCAUUGACGUUACUCGCAGAAGAAGCACCGGCUAACUCCGUGCCAGCAGCCGCGGUAAUACGGAGGGUGCAAGCGUUAAUCGGAAUUACUGGGCGUAAAGCGCACGCAGGCGGUUUGUUAAGUCAGAUGUGAAAUCCCCGCGCUUAACGUGGGAACUGCAUUUGAAACCGGCAAGCUAGAGUCUUGUAGAGGGGGGUAGAAUUCCAGGUGUAGCGGUGAAAUGCGUAGAGAUCUGGAGGAAUACCGGUGGCGAAGGCGGCCCCCCUGGACAAAGACUGACGCUCAGGUGCGA